rnacentral:rRNA from 1 species
UCCGUAGGUGAACCUGCGGAAGGAUCAUUAAAGAGACGUUGCCCUUCGGGGUAUACCUCCCACCCAUUGUUUAUUUACUUUGUUGCUUUGGCAGGCCCGGCUUCGGCCCACCGGCUCCGGCUGGUCAGUGUCUGCCAGAGGAUACCAAAACUCUGUUUGUUAAUAUUGUCUGAGUACUAUAUAAUAGUUAAAACUUUCAACAACGGGUCUCUUGGUUCUGGCAUCGAUGAAGAACGCAGCGAAAUGCGAUAAGUAAUGUGAAUUGCAGAAUUCAGUGAAUCAUCGAAUCUUUGAACGCACAUUGCGCCCUCUGGUAUUCCGGGGGGCAUGCCUGUUCGAGCGUCAUUACAACCCUCAAGCUCUGCUUGGUAUUGGGCCCUGCCGGUUUCCGGCAGGCCUUAAAAUCAGUGGCGGUGCCAUUCGGCUUCAAGCGUAGUAAUUCUUCUCGCUUUGGAGAUCCGGGUGUGUGCUUGCCAGCAACCCCCAAUUUUUUCAGGUUGACCUCGGAUCAGGUAGGGAUACCCGCUGAACUUAAGCAUAUCAAUAAGCGGAGGA